rnacentral:rRNA from 1 species
GCUUACGGCCAUAUCAGCCUGGGUACGCCCGAUCUCGUCUGAUCUCGGAAGCUAAGCAGGGUCGGGCCUGGUUAGUACUUGGAUGGGAGACCGCCUGGGAGUACCAGGUGCUGUAAGCA